UACGGAGGAUGCAAGCGUUAUCCGGAAUGAUUGGGCGUAAAGCGUCCGCAGGUGGCUGUGUAAGUCUGCUGUCAAAGAGCGAAGCUCAACUUCGUAAAGGCAGUGGAAACUACACGGCUAGAGUGCGUUCGGGGCAGAGGGAAUUCCUGGUGUAGCGGUGAAAUGCGUAGAGAUCAGGAGGAACACCGGUGGCGAAAGCGCUCUGCUAGGCCGCAACUGACACUGAGGGACGAAAGCUAGGGGAGCGAAUGGG
rnacentral:rRNA from 1 species